rnacentral:rRNA from 1 species
UCAGUAACACGCGGAUAAUCUACCCUCAGGUGAGGUAUAACCUCGGGAAACUGAGGCUAAUCCCUCAUAGUUACCGUAUGCUGGAAGGCUUCGGUGAUAAAAGCUCCGGUGCCUGAGGAUGAGUCUGCGGCCUAUCAGGUAGUAUGUGGUGUAAUGGACCACAUAGCCUAGGACGGGUACGGGCCCUGAAAGGGGGAGCCCGGAGAUGGACUCUGAGACACUAGUCCAGGCCCUACGGGGCGCAGCAGGCGCGAAAACUGUGCAAUGCGCGAAAGCGCGACACGGGAAACCUGAGUGCCUUGACUUAGUCAAGGCUUUUCUUAAGCCUAAAAAGCUUGAGGAAUAAGAGCUGGGUAAGACGGGUGCCAGCCGCCGCGGUAACACCCGCAGCUCAAGUGGUGGUCACUUUUAUUGAGCCCAAAGCGUUCGUAGCCGGCUCUGUAAAUCUUUGGACAAAUUCUUCUGCUUAACAGAAGACCCUCUGAAGAGACUGCAGAGCUAGGGACCGGGUGAGGUUGAAGGUACUUUUGGGGUAGGGGUAAAAUCCUGUAAUCCUGGAAGGACGACCGGUGGCGAAGGCGUUCAACUAGAACGGAUCCGACGGUGAGGAACGAGGGCUAGGGGAGCAAACCGGAUUAGAUACCCGGGUAGUCCUAGCUGUAAACUCUGCCCACUUGGUGUUGCCUCUCUUUCAGAGGGCUGCAGUGCCUGAGCGAAGGUGUUAAGUGGGCCGCUUGGGGAGUAUGGUCGCCAGGCUGAAACUUUAAGGAAUUGGCGGGUGAUCACCGCAACUGGAUGAGCGUGCGUCUAAUUGCAUUCCACGCCGGGAAGUGCGAAUUC